AUCCAGCUGACGAGUCGCAAAUAGGAUGAGACGCGCGUCUUAAAU
rfam:Schistosoma margrebowiei strain Zambia genome assembly, scaffold: SMRZ_scaffold0000025